rnacentral:rRNA from 1 species
UGGGGAAUAUUGCACAAUGGGCGCAAGCCUGAUGCAGCCAUGCCGCGUGUGUGAAGAAGGCCUUCGGGUUGUAAAGCACUUUCAGCGAGGAGGAAGGGUAGUGUGUUAAUAGCACAUUGCAUUGACGUUACUCGCAGAAGAAGCACCGGCUAACUCCGUGCCAGCAGCCGCGGUAAUACGGAGGGUGCAAGCGUUAAUCGGAAUUACUGGGCGUAAGGCGCACGCAGGCGGUUUGUUAAGUCAGAUGUGAAAUCCCCGCGCUUAACGUGGGAACUGCAUUUGAAACUGGCAAGCUAGAGUCUUGUAGAGGGGGGUAGAAUUCCAGGUGUAGCGGUGAAAUGCGUAGAGAUCUGGAGGAAUACCGGUGGCGAAGGCGGCCCCCUGGACAAAGACUGACGCUCAGGUGCGAAAGCGUGGGGAGCAAACA